rnacentral:rRNA from 1 species
GUGAGUAACACGUGAGCAACCUGCCCCUCACUCUGGGAUAAGCGCUGGAAACGGCGUCUAAUACUGGAUACGAGCUGGAACCGCAUGGUUACCGGUUGGAAAGAUUUUUUGGUGGGGGAUGGGCUCGCGGCCUAUCAGCUUGUUGGUGAGGUAAUGGCUCACCAAGGCGUCGACGGGUAGCCGGCCUGAGAGGGUGACCGGCCACACUGGGACUGAGACACGGCCCAGACUCCUACGGGAGGCAGCAGUGGGGAAUAUUGCACAAUGGGCGGAAGCCUGAUGCAGCAACGCCGCGUGAGGGAUGACGGCCUUCGGGUUGUAAACCUCUUUUAGCAGGGAAGAAGCGAGAGUGACGGUACCUGCAGAAAAAGCGCCGGCUAACUACGUGCCAGCAGCCGCGGUAAUACGUAGGGCGCAAGCGUUAUCCGGAAUUAUUGGGCGUAAAGAGCUCGUAGGCGGUUUGUCGCGUCUGCUGUGAAAUCCCGAGGCUCAACCUCGGGCCUGCAGUGGGUACGGGCAGACUAGAGUGCGGUAGGGGAGAUUGGAAUUCCUGGUGUAGCGGUGGAAUGCGCAGAUAUCAGGAGGAACACCGAUGGCGAAGGCAGAUCUCUGGGCCGUAACUGACGCUGAGGAGCGAAAGGGUGGGGAGCAAACAGGCUUAGAUACCCUGGUAGUCCACCCCGUAAACGUUGGGAACUAGUUGUGGGGUCCUUUCCACGGAUUCCGUGACGCAGCUAACGCA